UACAGAGGGGGCAAGCGUUGUUCGGAAUUACUGGGCGUAAAGGGCGCGUAGGCGGCCUGUUAAGUCGAACGUGAAAUCCCCGGGCUCAACCCGGGAACUGCGUCCGAUACUGGCAGGCUUGAAUCCGGGAGAGGGAUGUGGAAUUCCAGGUGUAGCGGUGAAAUGCGUAGAUAUCUGGAAGAACACCGGUGGCGAAGGCGGUGGUCUGGGCCAAAACUGACGCUGAGGAGCGAAAGCCAGGGGAGCAAACGGG
rnacentral:rRNA from 1 species